ensembl:lncRNA
GACGGAUCAACUUCAUCUCUCAACCCUACAUAAAGCGAUUUGAAGAAAGCGAUGGAUUUCGGAAGAUUUGUCCCGGAUAUGAAGAACUGUACUCUGUGGGAGAUCGCCUGUGCUGCGGGGCUGCUCGUGCUCUCUGCCGGUGCGGGUUACCGCGUUUACCGCCGCAUGUGGAGAGGAAGCGCUCCUCCUGACCGUACUCAGCCUCCUCACAAGCCUGAGGAUGUGCUGGAAGAAUCGAUAGAUACUCCCUCUGUCCUCCAGGUAGGUCAUUGAGUCAAAGCUGCAGCUACUGGCCACCGAACAUCACCAAGACUCUUCAGCUGUUGUAAUGCCUCUCAGUGCCAGUCAGAUGAGCAGCACCUGGAGCGAUGUUCAGUUCCUCUCUGCAGACUCCUUCGGCAGACACCUGCAGCUGCUGCCCACUGAACCUCAUCACGACCCUUCAGCUGUUGUUCUGCCUCUCAGUGCCGGUGAGAUGAGCAGCG